rnacentral:rRNA from 1 species
CCUACGGGAGGCAGCAGGGGGGAAUAUUGGGCAAUGGGGGAAACCCUGACCCAGCAACGCCGCGUGAAGGAAGAAGGCCUUCGGGUUGUAAACUUCUGUGACAGGGGAAGAAAGAAAUGACGGUACCCUGAGAGGAAGCUCCGGCAAACUACGUGCCAGCAGCCGCGGUAAUACGUAGGGAGCGAGCGUUGUCCGGAAUUACUGGGCGUAAAGGGCGCGUAGGCGGUUUGGCAAGUCACAUGUGAAAUACCCGGGCUCAACCUGGGGGGUGCAUGUGAAACUGCUAGACUUGAGUGUGGCAGAGGAAAGUGGAAUUCCUAGUGUAGCGGUGAAAUGCGUAGAUAUUAGGAGGAACACCAGUGGCGAAGGCGACUUUCUGGGCCAUAACUGACGCUGAGGCGCGAAAGCGUGGGGAGCAAACAGGAUUAGAUACCCUGGUAGUCCACGCCGUAAACGAUGAUUGCUAGUUGUCGGGGAGCUUGCUCUUCGGUGACGCAGCUAACGCAUUAAGCAAUCCGCCUGGGGAGUACGGUCGCAAGAUUAAAACUCAAAGGAAUUGACGG